rnacentral:rRNA from 1 species
CGCGGUAAUGUGGUAAUUUAGAAGAGGUUUCACGCUUAUCAGAACCUCCAUAGUGUUAAGACCAUCUGUGCCGCGACCCUGUAUGACAAGGACAUGACGACCGGAUUCUCUCUACCUAUGCUGUCGUCGUACCCGACCGUAUCAGAAAGUAACGUCACUGAUAUCGAGAGAGUAAGAGCGAGUAUCGGAGCGGAUAGCGACCUGCAGCGCGACNACAUACACUGAUAGCAGCUCAUCUAACAACGAGCAACCUCACGCGAUGACCCGCGAUCACGACAAGGGAUAUCGCAGGUUACAACUCUCAAAUAUCCUAACCGUCGACACAAGAAUCGAAUCAUAUCGAUACCAUUCUGGACGGUGUGAUGAUUGGCGGAGGUAGCGGGACGACGAAACGCCUAGC